rnacentral:lncRNA from 1 species
CUAAUAUUUAGACAUUAUUUAUGACUAAAAUCUCUAGUGUCCGAACAAGAACAAACAAAAAAGUCUGUAUCAUAUUUUUCGUCUAGUGACGUGAACCAGUAUUUACCUAUUGUAUUCCAUUUAUGUGUUUACAAUACUGUACAUACUUUUCAUCUGUCUUGAUUUGAUAAAGUUCCUUAAGUUUAUCAUUCGUAUCCCCCUUUUUCUUUCGGUAAACAGCACACUGUUCUUGCGACUUGGUUUGUUUUCCCAUCCCAUAUAAAGGAC